CAGUGGGGAAUCUUGCGCAAUGGGCGAAAGCCUGACGCAGCGACGCCGCGUGAGUGAUGAAGGCCCUCGGGUUGUAAAGCUCUGUGGAGAGGGACGAAUAAGGGUUGGCUAACAUCCAAUCUGAUGACGGUACCUUUUUAGCAAGCACCGGCUAACUCUGUGCCAGCAGCCGCGGUAAGACAGAGGGUGCAAACGUUGUUCGGAAUUACUGGGCGUAAAGCGCAUGUAGGCGGCUCGUAAAGUCGGAUGUGAAAGCCCUGGGCUCAACCCAGGAAGUGCACCCGAAACUCACGAGCUCGAGUCCUGGAGAGGAAAGCGGAAUUCUCGGUGUAGAGGUGAAAUUCGUAGAUAUCGAGAGGAACACCGGUGGCGAAGGCGGCUUUCUGGACAGUGACUGACGCUGAGAUGCGAAAGCGUGGGGAGCAAACAGGAUUAGA
rnacentral:rRNA from 1 species